rnacentral:lncRNA from 1 species
AAUUUAGUUAAUUUUGUUUGGAAAAAUGAUACAAGAGCUAGACUAGAGCUUAAAUAAGCUAGCAUCCUGCCCCGAGUCAUAUUUGAAAUGGCGUGAGGCUAGGUUGGGUCAAAUCAUAUAUGUUCGAAAUGACGUAAAGCUGGUUCACAAUUGAAACCCAUAGGUGUUAUGUUUGUACACUUUAACUGAAUUUGUUGCAUAUUUCUAACCGUUCGAACUUUUAGAUUCAUGCUUAGCCCCAACGAUCCAACAUAGAGCUGGCCAUAGACU